rnacentral:rRNA from 1 species
UGGGGAAUCUUCCGCAAUGGACGAAAGUCUGACGGAGCAACGCCGCGUGAGUGAAGAAGGUUUUCGGAUCGUAAAACUCUGUCUUUUGGGGCGAACGUGAGUAUGGUGAACAAUCAUAGUCAGUGACGGUACCAAAGGAGGAAGCCACGGCUAACUACGUGCCAGCAGCCGCGGUAAUACGUAGGGUGGCAAGCGUUGUCCGGAAUUAUUGGGCGUAAAGAGCGCGUAGGCGGGAUAGUCAGUCUGUUGUAAAGUGCGGGGCUCAACCCCGUGAUGGCAAUGGAAACAGCUAUUCUUGAGUUCACGAGGAGGAAGGAAGUGGAAUUCCCAGUGUAGCGGUGAAAUGCGUAGAUAUUGGGAGGAACACCAGUGGCGAAGGCGACUUUCUGGACUGUGUCUGACGCUGAGGCGCGAAAGCCAGGGGAGCGAACGGGAUUAGAUACCCCGGUAGUCCUGGCCGUAAACGAUGGGUACUAGGUGUGGGAGGUAUCGACCCCUUCCGUGCCGGAGUUAACGCAAUAAGUACCCCGCCUGGGGAGUACGGUCGCAAGACUGAAACUCAAAUGAAUUGAC